UGGGGAAUUUUCCGCAAUGGGGGGAACCCUGACGGAGCAACGCCGCGUGCGGGAGGACGGCCUGUGGGUUGUAAACCGCUUUUCUCUAGGAAGAAGGUCUGACGGUACUAGAGGAAUCAGCAUCGGCUAACUCCGUGCCAGCAGCCGCGGUAAGACGGAGGAUGCAAGCGUUAUCCGGAAUUAUUGGGCGUAAAGCGUCCGUAGGCGGUUCAUCAAGUCAGUUGUUAAAGACUGCAGCUCAACUGUGGGCGAGCAACUGAAACUGAUGAACUAGAGUGCGGUAGGGGUAGAGGGAAUUCCCAGUGUAGCGGUGAAAUGCGUAGAUAUUGGGAAGAACACCCAGGGGGAAGCCAGCAUACUGGACAGGUCCUGACACUCAGGUGCGACAGCGUGGGGAGCGAACCGGAUUAGAUACCCGUGUAGUCC
rnacentral:rRNA from 1 species